AAUGUUGUGGUGUAGCGGUUAUCACGUUUGUUUUACACACUAAAGGUCCCAGUUCGAGCCUGGGCAGCAGCA
rnacentral:tRNA from 1 species